rnacentral:lncRNA from 1 species
ACAUUGAAAUGCGUGUCGAGCAGUUGAAAAGAAACGUAUACAACUAAAUGAGACAGAGGGAGUACAAGUUCAUGUGAAUUACUCAUCGGAUGAUAACCGCAAAUUAACAGUACGAAUGUUUAGUUUUUUAGGUUCAUAACUGGUCUUCCAAAGUUCUACGUAGAUAUAUAACUUCUUAAAAUUUCGAAAAUAUUAGCCGAAUUUCCACAGAUAAGACAAAAUCAUAAAAAUCCAUAAGUUUGUAAAAUUUAUCUCACAAGACAAUUUAAUCAACAGAUAACAUGGGGUGCGUGCAUAAGCUGACACAAAGAGGCCGGCAAAAUUGGGCAAUAAGUAAGAAACAUACAUAUCUCGUCGACAUUUCUCCCAAACCCUCCCACUUGAAACUAAAUUACCCGGUUCGAACACAGAGGGGGGCAGCCAGACAGUAUGGAGUAUCUCUCUCACAGUCACACACUAUCACUUCAUUAUUUUUGAAUUAUUGUUUAUGUUCAUUGUAUAAAAUAUAGUUGUUCUAGAUCUCCUCACUUCAAGUCUUCAACUAUUUAAAUAUACUACUAGCCCACUUCUUUCUCCCAUGCACUUGUUUUCUAUUAGUUCUCAUCCCCCUCUGUAAUUUACUUCUCUGCCUUCAUAUUUCUAGCUGCACCUUCCUUCAUCUUUUUUUCUUAUCUUCUGACCUUUGUAACUAGCUUGUCUCAAACACUACUCUUCACAAGUCUCUCUCUCCCUCCCUCCCCCUCCCUCCCUCCCUCCCUCUCUCUCUCUCUCUCU